UACAGAGGUCUCAAGCGUUUGUUCGGAUUCAUUGGGCGUAAAGGGUGUGUAGGUGGCGCGCUAAGUCGGGUGUGAAAUUUCGGAGCUUAACUCCGAAACUGCAUUCGAUACUGGCGUGCUUGAGGACUGGAGAGGAGACUGGAAUUCAUGGUGUAGCAGUGAAAUGCGUAGAGAUCAUGAGGAAGACCAGUGGCGAAGGCGGGUCUCUGGACAGUUCCUGACACUGAGACACGAAGGCCAGGGGAGCAAACAGG
rnacentral:rRNA from 1 species